rnacentral:lncRNA from 1 species
UUGAUUUAAAAUAGAGGAAAUGAAUCCUGAGCCCUAGCAUCACAUGACCAUAAAAAUUUGACUUUUGAGUGUCCGCAUAGGUGCAUGCAUGACCAGUUUUGCAUAAAGUUUCCAAAUCAUCAUUUUUGCAUUUGUGUCAUGGAAAUAAUGUGGGGCAUCCCUUUUAUCCUUGAACCAAACCAAACCCCGACAUGUAUCAUGUCUAGCCAUUCUACAAACCUUGAGCCAAAAUCCUGACUCACCAUAAUCCUUACCCUCGGAAGCAAAAAGGAAGAGAAGGAAAAUUCCCAAUCAAAGAGUGGGAGAAAGCAAAAGGAAGAGAAGGAAAAUUCCCAAUCAAAGAGUGGGAGAAAGCAAAAAGAAAAGAAAGGAAAUUCCCAAUCAAAAAGUGGGAGAAAGCAAAAAGAAAAGAAAGGAAAUUCCCAAUCAAAGAAUGGGAGAAAGAAAAAAAAAAGAGAAAAGAAGGAAAGAAAGCUCCUGAUCAAGGAUCGAAAGAAAACAGAAGAAACGUGCAGAGAGGUCUUUGGACCAGACGAUAUCUGAACAAUACAGAAUUGUCACCACAUGAACAAAAAAGAAGGAAAGGAAACCACGACCUAAAAUGGUCUUCUCCCUUUAAUUACCAACCAAAAUCCCGUGCGCUAGCGACCCUUUUUUUUCUCGCCCCGCACUAAACAAAAACAGAAAAAGAAAAAGGCCAGAAAAAUCAAAAGCCAAAAACACAC